UGUUAUAGUAAAAAGAGGUAGAUAAGUUACUUGAGUUCGUAAAGUGGCGCCGUAAAACUGAGCUAAUUAGCGCACUCAAGCUUAGUCUCGUGAAAGCAUUGGUAACGUUGACUGUGUUUUUUGUUCCGCGAAAUUUCUUUAAAAUGCCGUCUUGUGAUAUGCGACACUGUAGAAACUAUACAAAUAAGACUCCCAAAAGUCUAGGGAUGACAUGUCAUGCGUUUUCGGCAAAUGAAUUAAGGUGUAACCAAUGCCGUAUAUUGUACGUAGACAAAGACAUGAAGAGGAUUGGCGGCCAAAUAAUAAUGAACUAAAUGAAAAUAAAAAAGUGUGUGUGUCCGCUCCGACGCACGACUGGAGUUUACUGGAUAUAAAAAAUUAAACGAAACAAUACGAGAAAUAGUUCUAUAUUACGACAACACGAUACACUACAGAUUAUUAACAAAUUAACGAGACACAAAACAAACGACUAACAAAUAUAUGAAAAUAGAAUAAUGAGAGAAACGCGCGAUCAGUACGAGGCUUUGUGGCGGACUGCCGGCGCAGCAGCCCGGCGUCACCUGCGAUAACGCGGCCGCGCGUUGGCUCCUGAUUGGCGCGCGCACGCAUCACGCAAUCAGGAGCCAAUCAGGCGCAUAACGCAUUUCGUGUGACAUGCUAGUACGAUUUUGGUCCCCAUAAUUUUCAUACCCCGGGCCUAUAUAUGUAAAUCGAUUCUAAAGGAGUAAACUCCAAAAAUAAAAAUAUUUGUCCUUCGCUGUUUUAUUUCUUAAAAGAAUAGUCAGGAGUUCAUUUUAAAUAUAUCAAUUCUGCUUACUAAACCGUAGGCAUCAAACAA